rnacentral:lncRNA from 1 species
GUUGUUUAGGAUUUCAAGGCUUCUAUCCUGAAAGAGCUUUGGUUCACCAACAAAGUGUUUCGCAAUGUGGUAAAGCAAAGUCGCACAAGCAUCCUCUCUGACUUCAGACUCUGAUGAGUCCAUAUCACUACCAGAUUUAACCGUAGUUAUAAUAGUGGUAGCAUUGAGGAUGUUUAGCUUAAGUUCUUCGGUGACAUAAUUAUCCCACCAAUACCUAAGCAUUCCGGUGAAGCCAGCUGUGAUCAUUGCAGCUGCUUCUUUGUCUGAAGAAUUACGCAGCUUAUAGCUGGUAAUACAAACACCCAUUUCGUGUAGAACACGAUAGAGUCUGAAGAAUUACACAGCUUAUAGCUGGUAAUACAAACACACAUUUCGUGUAGAACACGAUAGAUUUGAUGUUCAGCAAGACCAUCAAUAUUCCAUUCGACUAUGCCUCUACCAUCAUGAGAUGAUUGAGACUGGAAUCCAUCUUCCUCAUACUGAGUAUCAGGAAAGGAGGGUCGUUUGUAAUAGUUUCUCCUAUUAGGAUAACGAUCGGAAAGUUUAUGCAGGGAGUUAUCAGUUAGAGUACGGACACUCUCAGAAGUGGAAGGUUUAUCUUCCUUAGUAGAUGGAGCACCCGAAGCUUUAGGGCCCUAUUAGGAUAUCGAUCGGAAAGUUUAUGGAGGGAGUUGUCAGUUAGGGUACGGACACUCUCGGAAGUGGAAGGUUUGCCUUCUUUAGGAGAACCAGAAGCUUCCUUGGAAGAGUUAGGAAUGAUUGGAGUUUUAGCCUUAUUUUUGUCAGUGACAUGAAAAUGGGCUAACUUUUCAGUUAUCUGUUCUACGAGCUUACCCGAGACAGAAAUAUUAUCAUUAAGUUUGGGAAACAUUUCCCUUCGAAAUUCAGGAGGCUUAAAAAUUGGAUUGGGCUCUAAAGUACUAUUUGUACUGGGUCUAGGAAUACUUAGACU